rnacentral:rRNA from 1 species
UACGGAGGGUGCAAGCGUUAUCCGGAUUUACUGGGUUUAAAGGGUGCGCAGGCGGAUAUGAAAGUCAGUGGUGAAAUCUCCGGGCUUAACCCGGAAACUGCCGUUGAUACUAUAUAUCUUGAAUGCUGUGGAGGUAAGCAGAAUAUGUCAUGUAGCGGUGAAAUGCUUAGAGAUGACAUAGAAUACCUAUUGCGAAGGCAGCUUACUACGCAGAUAUUGACGCUCAUGCACGAAAGCGUGGGGAUCAAACAGG